UACGUAGGGUGCAAGCGUUGUCCGGAAUUAUUGGGCGUAAAGCGCACGUAGGCGGAUUGCUAAGUCAGGGGUGAAAUCCUGGAGCUCAACUCCAGAACUGCCUUUGAUACUGGCAACCUUGAGUCCGGGAGAGGUGAGUGGAACUGCGAGUGUAGAGGUGAAAUUCGUAGAUAUUCGCAAGAACACCAGUGGCGAAGGCGGCUCACUGGCCCGGUACUGACGCUGAGGUGCGAAAGCGUGGGGAGCAAACAGG
rnacentral:rRNA from 1 species